rnacentral:rRNA from 1 species
AGAGAGAGACAUGCGCGCAUAUCAAUAAGCGGAGGAAAAGAAACUAACAAGGAUUCCCCUAGUAACGGCGAGUGAAGCGGGAAGAGCUCAAAUUUGAAAUCUUAAAGGGUUUCCCUUUACGAAUUGUAGUUUAAAGAAGUGUUUUCUGUUGAGGUUUUGGUAAAAGUUCUUUGGAAUAGGACAUCAUAGAGGGUGAGAAUCCCGUAUUUGACCUUUACUUUCAACUUUGUGAUACACUUUCAAAGAGUCGGAUUGUUUGGGAAUGCAGUCCAAAAUGGGUGGUAAAUUUCAUCUAAAGCUAAAUAUUGGCGAGAGACCGAUAGCGAACAAGUACCGUGAGGGAAAGAUGAAAAGAACUUUGAAAAGAGAGUUAAACAGUACGUGAAAUUGUCCAAAAGGGAAGCGUUUGACACCAGUGUUGUUUUUCUGAAAAUCAAUUAAAGAACUGUUUAUGCUAAGUUGUUUAGACUUUAUCAGCUAUCUGUUUAGUUUUGAGCUUUUCUUUAAUGCACUUUUCAGUUAACAAGUCAACAUCAAUUUCUUUUGCUGUAAAAAAGCUUGAGGAAGGUGGCUUGAGAUUCGUCUUAAGUGUUUAUAGCCUCUUGCCUAUGCAGUCGGAGAGAUUGAGGUCUGCAGCGUAGAUCCUUCGGGGCUAAAUGCAUUUGUGCUAAGUUAUAGCAUUCUAUAGACAACUUGUUGACUAUGAUUUGUCUUGUAGCUUACUCGCUUAUGUUAUUUUACCUACGCUUAGGAUGUUGAGCGCAUGUCUCUCUC